rnacentral:rRNA from 1 species
AAAAAUUAAAUUAAUUGUGUUAAAGUAGUAAUAGUUAAGAUCUUGAAAUUUAAAAAAUUUGGCGGUAUUUUAGUCUAUCCAGAGGAACCUGUUUUGUAAUCGAUAAUCCACGUUGGACCUUACUUAAAUUUGUAUAAAAAUUAUAUUAGUUUAUAUAUCGUUGUUUAUUGAAUAUUUUAUAAAAAAAAUAAUUUUCAAGAUUUUUUUAAGAAAGUAUAUCAGAUCAAGAUGUAGCUUAUGUUUAAGUUUUUAAUGGGUUACAUUGAUUGUAUUAGUUGGAUGUAAGUUUGAAAUUUAUUUAUUUAAAUUGGAUUUGGUAGUAAAUUUAUAAAGAUAAAUAAAUUGAUUUAAGCUCUAAAAUAUG